UACGAAGGGGACUAGCGUUGUUCGGAAUUACUGGGCGUAAAGCGCACGUAGGCGGAUUUAUAAGUCAGGGGUGAAAUCCCGGGGCUCAACCUCGGAACUGCCUUUGAUACUGUAGAUCUCGAGUCCGAUAGAGGUGGGUGGAAUUCCUAGUGUAGAGGUGAAAUUCGUAGAUAUUCGCAAGAACACCAGUGGCGAAGGCGGCUCACUGGCCCGGUACUGACGCUGAGGUGCGAAAGCGUGGGGAGCAAACAGG
rnacentral:rRNA from 1 species